rnacentral:rRNA from 1 species
GGGUUGUGAGGUUAAGCGACUAAGCGUACACGGUGGAUGCCCUGGCAGUCAGAGGCGAUGAAGGACGUGCUAAUCUGCGAAAAGCGUCGGUAAGGUGAUAUGAACCGCUACAGCCGGCGAUGUCCGAAUGGGGAAACCCAGUGCAAUUCGUUGCACUAUCGUUUGAUGAAUACAUAGUCAAACGAGGCGAACCGGGGGAACUGAAACAUCUAAGUACCCCGAGGAAAAGAAAUCAACCGAGAUUCCCCCAGUAGCGGCGAGCGAACGGGGAGCAGCCCGGAGUCUGAAUCAGCUUGUGUGUUAGUGGAAGCGUCUGGAAAGUCGCAGGGUACAGGGUGAUACUCCCGUACACUAAAACACACAGGUUGUGAACUCGAAGAGUAGGGCGGGACACGUGGUAUCCUGUCUGAAUAUGGGGGGACCAUCCUCCAAGGCUAAAUACUCCUGACUGACCGAUAGUGAACCAGUACCGUGAGGGAAAGGCGAAAAGAACCCCGGCGAGGGGAGUGAAAAAGAACCUGAAACCGUGUACGUACAAGCAGUAGGAGCCCACUUGUUGGGUGACUGCGUACCUUUUGUAUAAUGGGUCAGCGACUUAUAUUCUGUAGCAAGGUUAACCGUAUAGGGGAGCCGCAGGGAAACCGAGUCUUAACUGGGCGUUAAGUUGCAGGGUAUAGACCCGAAACCCGGUGAUCUAGCCAUGGGCAGGUUGAAGGUUGGGUAACACUAACUGGAGGACCGAACCGACUAAUGUUGAAAAAUUAGCGGAUGACUUGUGGCUGGGGGUGAAAGGCCAAUCAAACCGGGAGAUAGCUGGUUCUCCCCGAAAGCUAUUUAGGUAGCGCCUCGUGAACUCAUCUUCGGGGUAGAGCACUGUUUCGGCUAGGGGGUCAUCCCGACUUACCAACCCGAUGCAAACUACGAAUACCGAAGAAUGUUAUCACGGGAGACACACGGCGGGUGCUAACGUCCGUCGUGAAGAGGGAAACAACCCAGACCGCCAGCUAAGGUCCCAAAGUCAUGGUUAAGUGGGAAACGAUGUGGGAAGGCCCAGACAGCCAGGAUGUUGGCUUAGAAGCAGCCAUCAUUUAAAGAAAGCGUAAUAGCUCACUGGUCGAGUCGGCCUGCGCGGAAGAUGUAACGGGGCUAAACCAUGCACCGAAGCUGCGGCAGCGACACUAUGUGUUGUUGGGUAGGGGAGCGUUCUGUAAGCCGUUGAAGGUGGCCUGUGAGGGUUGCUGGAGGUAUCAGAAGUGCGAAUGCUGACAUAAGUAACGAUAAUGCGGGUGAAAAACCCGCACGCCGGAAGACCAAGGGUUCCUGUCCAACGUUAAUCGGGGCAGGGUGAGUCGACCCCUAAGGCGAGGCCGAAAGGCGUAGUCGAUGGGAAACAGGUUAAUAUUCCUGUACUCGGUGUUACUGCGAAGGGGGGACGGAGAAGGCUAUGUUGGCCGGGCGACGGUUGUCCCGGUUUAAGCAUGUAGGCGGAUGUUCCAGGUAAAUCCGGAACGUUACUAACGCUGAGGUGUGAUGACGAGGCACUACGGUGCUGAAGUGACAAAUGCCCUGCUUCCAGGAAAAGCCUCUAAGCAUCAGGUAACAUCAAAUCGUACCCCAAACCGACACAGGUGGUCAGGUAGAGAAUACCAAGGCGCUUGAGAGAACUCGGGUGAAGGAACUAGGCAAAAUGGUGCCGUAACUUCGGGAGAAGGCACGCUGAUGGUAGGUGAAGUGACUUGCUCAUGGAGCUGAAAUCAGUCGAAGAUACCAGCUGGCUGCAACUGUUUAUUAAAAACACAGCACUGUGCAAACACGAAAGUGGACGUAUACGGUGUGACGCCUGCCCGGUGCCGGAAGGUUAAUUGAUGGGGUUAUCCGUAAGGAGAAGCUCUUGAUCGAAGCCCCGGUAAACGGCGGCCGUAACUAUAACGGUCCUAAGGUAGCGAAAUUCCUUGUCGGGUAAGUUCCGACCUGCACGAAUGGCGUAAUGAUGGCCAGGCUGUCUCCACCCGAGACUCAGUGAAAUUGAACUCGCUGUGAAGAUGCAGUGUACCCGCGGCAAGACGGAAAGACCCCGUGAACCUUUACUAUAGCUUGACACUGAACACUGGUCCUUGAUGUGUAGGAUAGGUGGGAGGCUUUGAAGUGUGGACGCCAGUCUGCAUGGAGCCAUCCUUGAAAUACCACCCUUUAAUGGCUGGUGUUCUAACGUGGGCCCCUGAUCGGGGUUGCGGACAGUGUCUGGUGGGUAGUUUGACUGGGGCGGUCUCCUCCUAAAGAGUAACGGAGGAGCACGAAGGUCAGCUAAUCCUGGUCGGACAUCAGGAGGUUAGUGCAAUGGCAUAAGCUGGCUUGACUGCGAGCGUGACGGCGCGAGCAGGUGCGAAAGCAGGUCAUAGUGAUCCGGUGGUUCUGAAUGGAAGGGCCAUCGCUCAACGGAUAAAAGGUACUCCGGGGAUAACAGGCUGAUACCGCCCAAGAGUUCAUAUCGACGGCGGUGUUUGGCACCUCGAUGUCGGCUCAUCACAUCCUGGGGCUGAAGUAGGUCCCAAGGGUAUGGCUGUUCGCCAUUUAAAGUGGUACGCGAGCUGGGUUUAGAACGUCGUGAGACAGUUCGGUCCCUAUCUGCCGUGGGCGCUGGAGAAUUGAGGGGGGCUGCUCCUAGUACGAGAGGACCGGAGUGGACGCAUCACUGGUGUUCGGGUUGUCAUGCCAAUGGCAUUGCCCGGUAGCUAAAUGCGGAAGAGAUAAGUGCUGAAAGCAUCUAAGCACGAAACUUGCCCCGAGAUGAGUUCUCCCUGACCCUUUAAGGGUCCUGAAGGAACGUUGAAGACGACGACGUUGAUAGGCCGGGUGUGUAAGCGCAGCGAUGCGUUGAGCUAACCGGUACUAAUGAACCGUGAGGCUUAACCUUACAACGCCGAAG